rnacentral:lncRNA from 1 species
GAUAAUUCUGGAGGUAGUGUCAGUUUAUAGGCAGCAGUGUCAAUUCUGUCUAAAAUUUCAAAUGGCCUAAUAAACCGGGAAUUUAGUUUCCCUCUCUUGCCAAACCUAUUGAUUCCCUUGAAAGUAGUGACCUUAAGGAACACUUGAUCACCUUUCUCAAAUUCCAAAUCUCUCAUCCGGGUGUCCACAUAACUAUUCUGUUUGCUUUGAGCCGUUUGGAUCUUCUUCCUGAUCUUAACUAUUUUGGUUGUAGUAUCCUCUACAAGAUCUGAGCCGAACAAUUUUCUAUCACCCACAUUUUCCCAACAGAUCGGUGAUCUGCAUGGGUGGUCAUAUAACGCCUCGUACGGAGUCAUGUCGAUACUUGCUUGAUAGCUACUAUUGUAGGCGAACUCUAUUA